UAUGUUAUGAUUAAUUUAUAAUUUUAAAAUUUCUGGCAUAUUUUUUUAAAGUGCAAUUGAAUAUUUUAUUACAUGAUUUAUAUUCAUGUAAAAAGUUAGAAAAUACCGAGGGGGAUACUCAACCACCAGUCCAUCAUUUACAUGUUACGGAACAAAGACAAAAAGAAGAAAAAUAACCAUCCGAUUCAGUACACAAAACAC
rnacentral:lncRNA from 1 species